rnacentral:rRNA from 1 species
CAGCCGCCGCGGUAAAACGUAGGGUGCGAGCGUUAAUCGGAAUUACUGGGUGUAAAGCGUGCGCAGGCGGUUAUAUGAGACAGAUGUGAAAUCCCCGGGCUCAACCUGGGACCUGCAUUUGUGACUGUAUAGCUAGAGUACGGUAGAGGGGGAUGGAAUUCCGCGUGUAGCAGUGAAAUGCGUAGAUAUGCGGAGGAACACCGAUGGCGAAGGCAAUCCCCUGGACCUGUACUGACGCUCAUGCACGAAAGCGUGGGGAGCAAACAGGAUUAGAUACCCGCGUAGUCCCUGUCUCUUAUAC